GAAGGGUAGCAUUUAUCUACUAGAUGUCACUAUAUAAAUUUCUAUUUCCAUCUUUAUCCUUCUCUGAACUAAUUAAAUUUAAAAGGCGACCCUCUGUGCUGGGCUAUAAGAUAAGAUAAGUUUAUUGUACUACUUGAUUGCCGGUAAUAAAGAGCUUCUGUAAGAACUGGAAGACUUUUGAUUGUAUGUAGAAGGAUGCAGUUUAUUUUAAAACAGUAGGAGAAUAGUUAAGCGAUCAUAUUGGUACAACUGAACGAGAG
rnacentral:lncRNA from 1 species